rnacentral:rRNA from 1 species
UACGAAGGGGGCUAGCGUUGCUCGGAAUUACUGGGCGUAAAGGGCGCGUAGGCGACAUUUAAGUCGGGGGUGAAAGCCCAGGGCUCAACCCUGGAAUAGCCUUCGAUACUGGAUGUCUUGAGUUCGGGAGAGGUGAGUGGAAUGCCGAGUGUAGAGGUGAAAUUCGUAGAUAUUCGGCGGAACACCAGUGGCGAAGGCGACUCACUGGCCCGAUACUGACGCUGAGGCGCGAAAGCGUGGGGAGCAAACAGGG